rnacentral:rRNA from 1 species
GUCUCAGUUCGGAUUGUAGUCUGCAACUCGACUACAUGAAGCUGGAAUCGCUAGUAAUCGCGAAUCAGAAUGUCGCGGUGAAUACGUUCCCGGGUCUUGUACACACCGCCCGUCACACCAUGGGAGUCAGUAACGCCCGAAGCCGGUGACCCAACCGAUAAGGAGGGAGCCGUCGAAGGUGGGACCGAUAACUGGGGUGAAGUCGUAACAAGGUAGC